rnacentral:rRNA from 1 species
UACGAGAGGCCCAAACGUUAUUCGGAUUUACUGGGCGUAAAGCGCACGUAGGCGGCUUUGUAAGUUAGAGGUGAAAGCCCGGAGCUCAACUCCGGAAUAGCCUUUAAGACUGCAUCGCUAGAACGUUGGAGAGGUAAGUGGAAUUCCGAGUGUAGAGGUGAAAUUCGUAGAUAUUCGGAAGAACACCAGUGGCGAAGGCGGCAUUCUGGACCGAUAUUGACGCUGAGGAGCGAAAGCCAGGGGAGCAAACGGG